rnacentral:rRNA from 1 species
GACGAACGCUGGCGGCGUGCUUAACACAUGCAAGUCGAACGGUGAAGGGACCAGCUUGCUGGUUCUGGAUGAGUGGCGAACGGGUGAGUAACACGUGAGUAACCUGCCCCCUUCUUCUGGAUAACCGCAUGAAAGUGUGGCUAAUACGGGAUAUUCUGGGUCUGUCGCAUGGCGGGCCCGGGAAAGAUAUUGCUUCGGUGGGGGAUGGGCUCGCGGCCUAUCAGCUUGUUGGUGGGGUGAUGGCCUACCAAGGCGGUGACGGGUAGCCGGCCUGAGAGGGUGGACGGUCACACUGGGACUGAGACACGGCCCAGACUCCUACGGGAGGCAGCAGUGGGGAAUAUUGCACAAUGGGCGCAAGCCUGAUGCAGCGACGCCGCGUGAGGGAUGGAGGCCUUCGGGUUGUAAACCUCUUUCGCCAGUGAAGCAGGCCUGCUCCGUGUGGGUGGGUUGACGGUAGCUGGAUAAGAAGCGCCGGCUAACUACGUG